rnacentral:rRNA from 1 species
AACGAACGCUGGCGGCAUGCCUAACACAUGCAAGUCGAACGAGACCUUCGGGUCUAGUGGCGCACGGGUGCGUAACGCGUGGGAAUCUGCCCUUGGGUUCGGAAUAACAGUUGGAAACGACUGCUAAUACCGGAUGAUGACGUAAGUCCAAAGAUUUAUCGCCCAAGGAUGAGCCCGCGUAGGAUUAGCUAGUUGGUGAGGUAAAGGCUCACCAAGGCGACGAUCCUUAGCUGGUCUGAGAGGAUGAUCAGCCACACUGGGACUGAGACACGGCCCAGACUCCUACGGGAGGCAGCAGUGGGGAAUAUUGGACAAGGGGCGAAAGCCUGAUCCAGCAAUGCCGCGUGAGUGAUGAAGGCCUUUGGGUUGUAAAGCUCUUUUACCCGGGAUGAUAAUGACAGUACCGGGAGAAUAAGCGCCGGCUAACUCCGUG